CCCAGGAACGAACACAGUGAUUGUGAUGACAUUGACAACAACGAGCAAGUCCUCCUAGACCUAGAGUGACCUCAAGCUGGGCCAAACAUGAUGUGGAAGAAGAAAUCAGUUGUCUCCAUCAGUCGGGUUUGUGCCAUGGCAGCUUUCUCCAGCUGUCCGGCAGAGGUCCAGUCCAUGCCAUGGAGAAAUUCAGCCCCCAACAAGGAGAUGGCAUGCCAGAGAUGGAUCCGCAACUUCUCCUCCAAUCAAUCAAUCAUUGCAAUGCCCUUUCUCUUUUCUCUCCUUCUGUACCACCAUGCUUACACAUAACUGAUCCUAGGUACUUAAACUCGUUAACCUCCUCCAUUUCUUCACCAUUCAAAAUUAUUUGGCAUUCUUUUUCACAUUCAAUGCCCACUCUAUAUGGGCAUACAAACUCUACAACCUCCCUUCUACUCCGCUCACAAACCAUCACUUUACUUUUGUUGACAUUUACUUUCAACUUUCUCCUUUUACAUAUACUAUCAAAAACAUUGACCAAAUUUUGUAGGUCACUUUCAUUUUCUGCAAUGAGCACCGUGUCAUCAGCAAAUAAGAUUGAAUUCAUCACCCACUUCCUUCCCUCCCUCAGCAUACAUUUUUACUUCAAUUUCCCCAACUUUGCCCUUCAUUUCUCAUAACACCAUCCAUAUAAAUAUUGAACAACCACGAUGACAUGACACACCCCUGCCUUAGCCCACUUUCAUCUCAAAAUGUUCACUUGUUUCUCCACUAAUUUUGACACAUGCAGAUGCAUCCUCAUAGAAAGACUUUAUUGCAUAAAGCAGUUUUCCUCCCACACCAUAUAUCUUUAAGACGUCCCACAAUGCCAGCCAAUCGACUCUGUCAUAAACUUUCUUUAGAAUAACUAGAUCCAUGAAGGCAGCAUAGUAUUUUUUCCUUUUGCUAAUAUUUUUUCUAAUAAAACACCAUCCUGAAGGAAAAUGUCUGAUCCACACAUCCUCUUCCCUUCCUGAAGUCUCCUUGUUCUUCACUGAUUUUCUCUUCUGUAAGUCUUUGCACAAUCUCAAUUAGGACUUUUCCAUAUACCUUUCCGGGUAGCCUACACUCAGCAGACUUAUACCCCUACAACUCCCACCUCCCCUCUCCUGCCCUUCCCCUUGUAAACUGGGACCAUGAUGGCUUUUGUCAAGUCUGCUGGGACCUCCCCCCCCCUUCCCAGGCCACUUCACAUAUCUUGACCAUUCAUAUAGUAACUUCAUCUCCACACUUCAACAUUUCUGCUGUGAUUCCUCUCAAUUCAUUCAUCAUCAUCAUCUCAUCGACGCCUGCUCUUAGGAGCUCCCACCAGGGGAUGGCCACGGCAGAAGUUUCCAUCUUUCUCUAUCCGGACACUCCUCCUUGCC